rnacentral:rRNA from 1 species
UACGUAGGUGGCAAGCGUUGUUCGGAAUUACUGGGCGUAAAGGGCGCGUAGGCGGCCUUCUAAGUCGGACGUGAAAUCCCUCGGCUUAACCGAGGAACUGCGUCCGAUACUGAAAGGCUUGAAUCCGGGAGAGGGAUGUGGAAUUCCAGGUGUAGCGGUGAAAUGCGUAGAUAUCUGGAGGAACACCGGUGGCGAAGGCGGCAUCCUGGACCGGUAUUGACGCUGAGGCGCGAAAGCUAGGGGAGCAAACGGG